AAUGUGCUCCCCCCUGCCAACCACAGCGGCGCGCGGAACCUUGACGGCCUCUACUCGGCCGCCUUCCCUGGCUUGACCCCGACGGCCACUGCUCGCCCGCCUCCCCUGGCUCGGCUCCGGCGACCUCGCCUGCCCCGGCCGGCGGCCGCCUGGCUCGGUCCUGCCGCCCUCGACGUCACCACACCUGUCCGCCCUUCUCCGCCGACCACACCACCUGGCCCUGCUCCGACGACCGAGCCAAGCCCUACUCCGUUGUCGAAUUCAACCACGCCGUAUAUAGAUUACUGUAAUGGGUAGACUAAGCAAGGCUUCCGAGCCGAAUAUUCGCGUACAAUCUUCUUUUGACACUGAUGAUUCCGGAGGCAAUUUUUUUCCCAAACUUUGCUGAAGAUGAUUCAUACCAUAUUUCCCAGGAUCUAUCGAUGGAUGAUGAUAAUUUUGUUAAAGCUUUGUACGAUUUCAAUGCGACCCAUAAAGUGAAAUGUCUGAAAUGGAAACAUCUGUUGGUGCUAGAAAUCUGGUAGUCUUUGUGUGUGCAGAAAGUUCAUCGGUUCUGUUUGCUUUUGAUGUAUCAUGUACCUGCACAUUGAGAUAGGGAAUGUUCAUUAGCCAGAUAUGUUGAAUGCGAAUUGAAAUGACAGUUUUGUUGAUUUAUAUUUUUGGUAUUUCUUUUGUUUUUUGGUUAGUUUUCGGUAAUAUAUAGGCUUACGGUAGCAUACACAGUGUGCAUGUAUAUGUUUCACAGUCUUCAGUUUGUUUCUUUUUUUUAUUGUAGGUAGGUGUAUUUUCUCUUUGUGCUCUGAUGUUUUCUGUCUGUGUAUGUAGGUAAUACAAUUCCCUAUUCUCUCUUGGUUUUAGUUUGUCAUCUAGUUUUCGCUCAACUAUUUGUGUCUAUGUAUGUAGGGGUUUUGUAUUUUAUUUCCAGCUAUUGUUCAUCACCUUAGUAAGUUUAUUUUCCAAUAGUAUUUGACCUUUUUUUCAUUUACUUGUUGUUUGAAGUCCAUUUUCUCUGUCCAUGUAUGUAUGUUAAUAUAAUUACCCCUUUCUCUCUUUGUCUUCUACUCCCUCCGUACCUAAAUAUAAGUCUUUUUAGAGAUUUCAAAUGUACUACAACAUACGGAUGUAUAUAGACAUAUUUUAGAGUGUAGAUCCACUCAUUUUCUACUGUAUAUAGUCACUUGUUGGAAUCUCUAAAAAGACAUAUAUUUAGGAACGGAGGGAGUAGUUUACAUGCUACUGUUGAUCGCUGUUUUAAGUUUAUAUCCCUUAGUAUUAAAGAUAUUUUUUCACAAUUUACUGUUAUGUGAAUCUUUUUUUUUACAAUCCAUUUACUCUGUCCAUGUAUGCCAGUAUUUACUGUAUCCGGUAGUCGGUUUGUUUUGUUGCCAAUAUAGUGCAGUGUAAAUUUGGGUUUUGAGGACUGUAAGUCAGUAAUUGGUAAUGAUUAGAGUACUGAGCUAUCAGCCUCUGCUGUUUCCGAGCAUAUGCUCUCCGAGCUUCUAGAUCAGAGCACCAUUUUCAUGUAAUUACAGUUCUUCUGCUCAUGUCUUGCAGUUUUCUGAAAAUUUGAAGUUAGUGUAAGUCUGAUAUGUACUAAGUAGCUUGUAAUCUGCACUAGUUGUACUCUAUAUCCACAUCAGCAAGAUCAAAGCACCCAUUUUAUGUAAUUACAGUUCUGUUUGAUCAUGACUUACUAUACCUUUU